UACGAAGGGGGCUAGCGUUGUUCGGAAUUACUGGGCGUAAAGCGCACGCAGGCGGCUCGAUAAAUUAGAAGUGAAAGCCCCGGGCUUAACCUGGGAAUUGCUUUUAAGACUGUCGAGCUAGAAUCCAGAAGAGGGUAGUGGAAUUCCGAGUGUAGAGGUGAAAUUCGUAGAUAUUCGGAAGAACACCAGUGGCGAAGGCGACUACCUGGUCUGGCAUUGACGCUCAUGUGCGAAAGCGUGGGGAG
rnacentral:rRNA from 1 species